UUUAUAUUUGUUAUUUCAAAAACAACCUGUACAGUCUUAGAAAGAAGUAUAUUAUACAAUUCAAUGGAAUAGCUAGAUCAUUCCAUACUCAUUGUACAAAAUACUUUUUAAAACAAAUUUGUUAUCAAAUCUAUCGAUAGGCAUAUAAUCGUUUUUUUUAUUUCGCAGAAAAUGAAAAGUUAACUGAAAAAUGUACCUAUGGUUGGACUUAUCUAAGUAUUUUACUGAGAUUUGAAAGGAAUAUAUUAUAAUAACUUCUUACAACUAAAAAGCAUUUUAGCAAGCUUAAAAUUUAUAAAAUAAAAAAAUAUUUAAACAAACGAAUAACACUUGGGUAACUUUAAAACAUUUCCCAUAGAAUUUCAAAACUUAAAACAAAACAAGCAUUGAACAUGAACAUCACUUGCAAGAACGACGAUUUCCGAAGCAUUUAGCCAAUAACUUUUUUACGAACAAAAUAUGCGGAAUGUCUAACAAAUAUUUAGAUAAUGAACACGCAGACAAACAAACCCUUCUAGAAGCCUUGUUGAGAUGCAAUCUUGAAUUACAACUGACAAAGUUUUUACUUCAUUUGCUCAGUAUAUGACCUGUUAUAGAACAAAAUAUUGUAUGUAAUAUGUAUUUAUCAGCUAUUUCAAUGUGAAAUUUGGACAGGUGAAUAAAUUAGAGACCAUGACAAUUUAAACGAAAAUAUUGGAAGAAUAUCACUAAAAUGUGUGGAUGAUAAACUGGGCCCAAGUUUUAGAAUAGCCUGUAAAAUAUGGGAAAAUAAUUAUAUAAAGCACUGAAUUUACGAAGAAUAGAAGAACGGCUUGGCCAAGAAACUAUAGUACCAAUAAAGUUGCAGCAUUUUAAUUUGUUGUUGAAUAUCGUCGAAAACUCGUGUAAGUAAAUCUUUUAUUCCCUAAUAAGGUCUGAAUUGUAAUAAAAUUGUUAUGCUUUGGAUGAAAAGGGUAAACUAGAGCUAUAUUCAUUAUGCAGUCUUCUGCAUCCAAAGUUGAACAUAGGCCUCCCCGAAUUUUUGGGACUUGGGCUUCCUGCAACCAAUUCCCAGCAAUCCUUUUGACGUCGUUUGUCCAUAGUGUAGGUGGUCUACCUCUACUUCUUUUGUCGGCUCGUGGUCUGCACAUUGUAAUUUUUUGGGUCCACCUCCCGUCCUUCAUUCUGGCUACAUUGCCCGCGCAAUUCCACUUCAGUGCUACUCGCACUAUGACAUCUGUGACAUCUGUCCUUCUUCUGAUUUCUUCGUUUCUGACCCUUUCUCUGAAAGGCAGUCCAAGUAGUGACCGUUCCAUUCUUCUUUGGGGCCACUCUAAGUUUGGUUGCUGUGGCCUGGGUUAACGAUAGUUUUUCGGCGCCGUAAGUCAUGACUGGAAGCACACAUUGGUCAAACGUCUUCAUUUUCAAAUAAUUUGGCAAGUUGCUCUUGAAGAUAUCUGCUAGAGCUCCAUGAAGGAAAGUAAGUGCCAAAACACGAGAGGAUGAACUACGGACUAAUUGUUCUGUAUUACGACAGUCCCAGUGGAAUAGUGAAAUGAAUGUUCCUAUAUAUUUAUCUAUUUUAGUUUGUCAAAAAGUUUCUAUACUUCCUUUCAAAUGUUAAAAAUGUUAAUUCCGUCGUAGUCUUUAAUGUUUAUUUGGUUUUAAAAACAUAUUUUACUGUAUACUAACAUUUUCUUUUUAUAUUACCCGUAAGUCACACGUAUUAAUCCAGAUCAGAGGUGAGUCACUUCGUAAUAUUAUUUUAAAUUUUAUUUCUCCAUUUUUUUUUCAAAAACUUGUGAAAAAAUCACAAUAAAGAUGCACUAUGGUCUGUUUUUAAACCAGGAGGAGUAGUUCAAAUUUACCACGCCGUAAUGCUUGUUUGUAAUUGGUCCAACCUCUGGCAAGUUUACUCCACUGUUAUAAAAUUUUGACACUUAUGACAUUUAUGAAAUUUUGACACGAUUGGCAUUUCAUAGGUUAAUUAAAUUAUGUUAGCAUUUUUUGAGUUUUCUGCGUUAUUCCUUUAACUUUUAGACGUUUAGUCUGCUUUUAUCUAAAAAAUAGUUGUUUUUAGAACUCUUUAGCGACGUAUUAGUAUAAUAUAAUAUUUAUGGAUUACCAUCGAAGGCCGAUAUGAUCAACCAAAAAAGAAAAUGCAUUUGGCGACUUUUCUAGUGACUUUCUUGGGUGUGAAUCUGUCUUUUUAGUUUACUUCUCUUGGUUUAAAAACAAACUAUAGAAAUAAAAAAAACCCACACACGUUGAAUGUUACGAGAAGCACUUUUGACUCAUUAUUUACAAUGUAGAAACUUUGUAAAUCAUGAUUUGGGAUUUACAAUGUAUAUGCAUUGUAAAUUAUGAUUUGGGAGUGCUCCUCAUAAUAUUCAACGUGUCUUGGUUUGUUUAUUUCUAGUUCAUCUUUAUUGUGAUUGUAGUAUAGAUAGUUUCUAUGAGGAACUAAAACUGUAUGAGUAUCAUGAAAAGUGUCCAAUAUAGAGGCGUUGAAAAGAAUGGCGAAAGAACAUAAGUAGAAAUAACGGCACAAGAAAGAGGCGUUUAUUGUAUAAUGAAAGAUACAGCAUCCUAUAGGAUUUAUCAUAUAGGGAAAAAUAACGUUCAAAAAAAGUAUCAGGAGAAGACGUAUAUCUUGGCUCAGAAAUUUGAGCUAGGCUUUUAAAAGUUUAAAUAGCCAAUCCUCUCUAUGAAACAACAAGAAGUCGCUAGACUUCAAUGGCACAUUAGGAGAACUUCAAAUCCAAUCUCAUUGGAGGCUAAUGGGCGAUGUUAGUAAUAACCUUUUAUUCCGACAAUAGCCUUGCAUUUUGCACCCUUUACGCAGAGAAAAUACGUUGAAAUAAAAGUACAAUUGCAUUAUUUUUCAAUUCCAGCUACACCAUUGUUCUACACGUGUUUCGAGGUUUCACCUCUCAUCAGGAACACUUGUGGUAGCUCGAACUCAAAUGAAAUGCUCUCUAUCUAUACGACCAUUAUAGUAAUAUAACAUGCUUGAGAACGCUAGUGGUGACCUCUGUAUAAAGCAGCAAGAAGUCAGGACACUU